GACGAACGCUGGCGGCGUGCUUAACACAUGCAAGUCGAACGGUAAGGCCCUUCGGGGUACACGAGUGGCGAACGGGUGAGUAACACGUGGGUGAUCUGCCCUGCACUUCGGGAUAAGCCUGGGAAACUGGGUCUGAUACCGGAUAGGACUCCGGACUGCAUGGUCUGGGGUGGAAAGCUUUUGCGGUGUGGGAUGGGCCCGCGGCCUAUCAGCUUGUUGGUGGGGUGAUGGCCUACCAAGGCGACGACGGGUAGCCGGCCUGAGAGGGUGACCGGCCACACUGGGACUGAGAUACGGCCCAGACUCCUACGGGAGGCAGCUGGGGGGAAUAUUGCACAAUGGGCGCAAGCCUGAUGCAGCGACGCCGCGUGAGGGAUGACGGCCUUCGGGUUGUAAACCUCUUUCAGCAUCGACGAAGCGAAAGUGACGGUAGGUGCAGAAGAAGGACCGGCCAACUACGUGCCAGCCGCCGCAGUAA
rnacentral:rRNA from 1 species